rnacentral:rRNA from 1 species
ACUUCUUAGAGGGACAAGCGGUGCUCAGCCGCAUGAGAAGGAGCAAUAACAGGUCUGUGAUGCCCUUAGAUGUCCGGGGCUGCACGCGCGCUACACUGAAGGAAUCAGCGUGCUAGUAAACCUUUCUUGACAUGGCUAGGUAACCCCUUGAAAAUCCUUCGUGAUUGGGAUCGCGACUUGCAAAUGUGUCGCUUGAACGAGGAAUUCCCAGUAAGUGCGUGUCAUAAGCUCGCGCCUGAUUACGUCCCUGCCCCUUUGUACUGAGCG